rnacentral:rRNA from 1 species
CUCCGGCGCUUCGGGAGAGGCCUGCGGCCCAUCAGCUAGUUGGUAGGGUAACGGCCUACCAAGGCAGAGACGGGUAGGGGGCGUGAGAGCGCGGACCCCCACACUGGCACUGAGAUACGGGCCAGACUCCUACGGGAGGCAGCAGUAAGGGAUAUUGCGCAAUGGACGAAAGUCAGACGCAGCGACGCCGCGUGGGCGAUGAAGGCCUUCGGGUUGUAAAGCCCUUUUAUGGGGGAAGAGAAAAAGGACGGUACCCCAGGAAUAAGUCCCGGCUAACUACGUGCCAGCAGCCGCGGUAAAACGUAGGGGACAAGCGUUAUCCGGAUUCACUGGGCGUAAAGAGCGUCGAGGCGGUUCCGUAAGUUGGGCGUGAAAGCUCCGGGCUUAACUCGGAGAUGUCGUUCAAUACUGCGGGGCUUGAGGACAGCAGAGGAAGGUGGAAUUCCCGGUGUAGUGGUGAAAUGCGUAGAUAUCGGGAGGAACACCCGUGGCGAAGGCGGCCUUCUGGGCUGUUCCUGACGCUGAAGGCGAAAGCUAGGGGAGCGAACGGGAUUAGAUACCCCGGUAGUCCUAGCUGCAAACGAUGGAUGCUGGGUGUGGGGGGUGUAAAUUCCCUCUGUGCCGAAGCAAACGCGUUAGGCAUCCCGCCUGGGGACUACGGCCGCAAGGCUAAAACUCAAACGAAUUGACGGGGGCCCGCACAAGCAGCGGAGCGUGUGGUUUAAUUCGAUGCUACACGAAGAACCUUACCUGGGUUUGACAUGCACGUGGUAGGGAACCGAAAGGGGACCGACCUUCGGGAGCGUGCACAGGUGCUGCAUGGCUGUCGUCAGCUCGUGCCGUGAGGUGUCGGGUUAAGUCCCGUAACGAGCGCAACCCUUGCCCUUAGUUACAAGUGUCUAAGGGGACUGCCCGGGACAACUGGGAGGAAGGUGGGGAUGACGUCAAGUCAGCAUGGCCUUUAUAUCCAGGGCUACACACACGCUACAAUGGCCGGUACAAUAGGUUGCGAAGUCGUGAGGCGGAGCCAAU